rnacentral:rRNA from 1 species
UGUAGUCAUAUGCUUGUCUCAAAGAUUAAGCCAUGCAUGUCUAAGUAUAAGCAAUUUAUACGGUGAAACUGCGAAUGGCUCAUUAAAUCAGUUAUCGUUUAUUUGAUAGUACCUUACUACAUGGAUACCUGUGGUAAUUCUAGAGCUAAUACAUGCUAAAAACCUCGACUUCGGAAGGGGUGUAUUUAUUAGAUAAAAAACCAAUGCCCUUCGGGGCUCCUUGGUGAAUCAUAAUAACUUAACGAAUCGCAUGGCCUUGCGCCGGCGAUGGUUCAUUCAAAUUUCUGCCCUAUCAACUUUCGAUGGUAGGAUAGUGGCCUACCAUGGUGGCAACGGGUAACGGGGAAUG